UUUUUAACAAUAUAUCAUCUUCUAACACCAAUCUGGUUCCCCAAUAAAGAAGCCAGAUAAGUUAGAAUCUUGAGAUAUGAAAUAUUAUUCAAGAACAUUUGCCAGAUCCAUAUAAACUAUAAUAGCUAGAUUUUGAUGUACCGCACAAAAGUAAUUAAAUGCCAAAACAUUUAAAGACCUCAAUAUUCAUGGCUCCCUUACUCUGCAGGUGUAAAUGUUGUCCUCCGCCACUUACUGAACCUCAACUGAAAGACAUAUUUAAGCACUUUGACGGGGACGGAGAUGGCCUUCUAAGCAGGCAAGAGCUUAUUAAUGCUUUCGAGUACAUAGGUUCUGGAUAGCCUGGUUGGCGAGCAAAGCAUGCACUGAGUCACGCUGACAGAAAUGGAGAUGGAUAUAUCAACGAAAAGAAGUUACAAGAGGUUAUCAAGUAUGCUUUUAGACAAGGUUAUAUAAUGUCAGCUGCUUAGAAUUUGUAAGAGGAGCCCUUUUUUUCUUUUUAUAUAGCAAAUCAACAAAACAUACCAUACUAAUUUAACCCAUGUAGUUUGGAGGUUUUAUAUUUCACCGUUUGGUAAGACCUCAUGAUUUGAGAUAUUUUUAUUAAGCCAGAUGAUUUUAAGACAAACUAGCUCAACAGAUUGAAUAGGUGCAAGUUUUCACUAGUUUGAUCACUGGUUCAAUUUCUUAAAAAUAUUAGUCUAUAAGAAAACAAGUUAUUUCUUAAAAAUACUUUUGAUUUACUAAAAAAUAAAUAAUUUUCCGAAAAGAUAAGGGAAUUCAGCAGUUACUUAGAUACAUGGAUUAGCAAAAUAAUUCCUAUUUGGAGGGUUUAAUUGUAUUAAACUAAAAGUGGAGGAGUAAAGGCCUGUAUCGUACAAGUUGGAAGGCCAAGAAAGAAUCUAUCAACAAUUGUGGCUUAAUUUGACUGAUGGGACCAGGUGGCAUUGUUACACAAAUCAUUUAAAGGGAACAACUGUACACGCACCAAAUAUUAUUCUCUGGGUCAAAAUUCGCAUCAGUGCUAUCCGCAAUAGAACAAAUCCAAAUUACUUUAGAGAUGCUAUGCUUAGCAUUCUUAUUUUUUAACCACUCGACUCCCUUCUUUGAAUCUAGUAUACAGUACAGAGGUGGCAAUUAAGUCAAGUUGGGCUGGUUUUAGGUUAGAAUAUCUUUUAGGUCUGGGUUAAUUCCACCUAGGGUUAUUUUAUGUUUCUCAUUCUUUUGGGUGGAUUUGGAUUUGAAUCAGGUUUUGUUUGAUUCAAGUCGCUAUUUUUAAGUUUUCAGGCAUUAAAAAGAAAAUUCAGAUCAUCUUUGAGCUUUGGAUUGAGUUAUUUACUCAUUCUUAUGGUAUUAAAAAAUAGAAUAUAUAUAUGCAAUAGUAGACACCGUCAUUUAAGUUUAGCUCAUUUGGGAUCACCCGUUACCAGACCCAAUUCUAAUAUUUCCAGGUCAUUAGGGUGGGGUUAUUUCCGAAUGUGCUCGGAUCAUGGGCAAGUUUGAAUCAUAAUUUUUAGGUUGGGGGGGUUCAAAUGGUAAAAAAAUAUAGUUAGUACUUGUACUUUUCUUGUUCUUGCAAAAUGAGUAUUUUUCCAGAAGUCGACGUAAGUGAUAGAUUAAAUUUAUUUAAAAAUUUCUUCAUAUAGAGCUACCCUUUUUCUAUAUAUGCUAUUUUCUGAUAUUAUCAUUUUUAAUGAUUAUAAAUUAUUAGACAACAGAUUCAAACCCCAAUAAUGCAUAAAAAUUAUCUAUUUAUAUCUCACAAACUUAGGACAGAAAAAAGCAAAAUAAAUUUUCCAAGGACAGAAAUAAUCCUGGAAGCAGUUAUAAGCCAAGAAUUAAAUUCGGUAAUCCGCAGCAAGAUCUAACAAAAGAAAAGGAAAAAUCGAAGGGUCUGCUGCAGUGGAUUUUCUUCUGCUGCCACCUUAAUUUAAAAAAAAAAAAAAAAGCAAAAGACAAGAUAAGUACUGAUGGAUUCUACUAAAAUGCAUGUCCAAGCCAUUCCAUGGAGGUUGGACGCUGGAUACGCAGUUCAAUAGCUACACCAUGAUCGAGUUAGUCUUAAAUGAACCUGUAUAAAGAGUUGAGCUUAGUAUUUAUUUAGCUUAUUGAAGUGACGAUCCAUCCCUUAUAUAGCCUUGAAACGAAUUACUCUAUUAGGAACAAACUGUAAGACCUUUCUCAAUAGGAACGGAUUGUUUCUAAGAUUUCUCCCACGAUCUUAAUAUCAAUUCCUUUCUUAUCUGUUAAUCUAUAUAUAUAUAUAUAUAUAUAUAUAUAUAUAUAUAUAUAUAUAUAUAUAUAUAUGUGCUACAUGACUAUAUUUUAAAAUUCUUUCUUUAGUCUAACUGCAUGGAAUACUUUAAUAUUGUGUAGUGAUGAAUCUGAAUUCAGUUAUCUAUCAUGCAUGACUAGUCUUAAUAAAAAGGUUUUGAAAAAGAAAACACAAAAACAAGAAAUGAAGAUAAGUAUGACAAGAUUAUUUUCUAUUUUCCCUUUUCUAGGCCUAUAUAAAAUCCUUUGUACCUUAACUUCCAAAGAUACACAAGUAGCUUCUCAAUAAAACCAACAACCAGGAAAGAACUAAACAACAGCAUUUAAACAUGUUUGCAUCCACUAACCUUAAGAAUGUAAAGUGUGUAAAGCCUAUGCCGAUUGAUGCGCGAUUGAAAGAUGCGUUCAGGCGUUUUGACACAAACGGAGAUGGAUACCUCAGUGUCGAAGAGCUUAAAAAUGCAUACAGCACCUUAGGUAUGUCUUUUCCCACAUGUCGAGCUUGGCGAGCAGUCUACGUUGCAGAUGAAAAUAGAGAUGGGUACAUCAGCGAGAAAGAGUUUCAGAAGCUACUGAAAGCUGCUCAUAAAUAACAAGCUAUAGGUUAAUUAUAAUAUUAACAACGAGAGUUAGAGUUGUUGCUCAAAGGCAGCUUAGUUAGAGUGGCUCUGAGUUGUGUACUUCACUGUUAGUUUCUUUCUUUACUUCAGAAAAGAAAAUAAAAUGAGAAAUAGAGGGGAGUCGUCCUUUGCUGUACAUUUCAUCUAAUAAUUUGUCACUUCCUUCUACAUAUUACUCGUUUUCAGUUUAUUUUAGUUGAUACUCAUAUGCUUACUAGAGAAGAUUCACUGUUCCUAUAGACUAUAGUGAAUAUUGUCUUAGUUUAGACAGUUUGUAAACAAUAAAAUGGCACCCUUAAACUCAUUGGUUGUAGAUCACUUUCGCUCUUUCUACUUCUGUGGUCUCAAUUUUCCCAAAAGAAUUCAAGGAGAGAUGGAAUAUAUGCACAUCCGUUUGAUUAGGAACACUUUUAGCUUUUGUUGGC
rnacentral:lncRNA from 1 species